rnacentral:RNase_P_RNA from 1 species
UUGGAAGGGCGGAGAGUCGCUUCCGUCUCGCGUUUGCGAGGCGGGGGAGGAAAGUCCGAACACCAUAGGGCGCGAUGCCGCGUAAUCUCAGGGGCGGUCUCUGACUGCCGGCCGAAGAGUACACGCGGGNNNNNCCCCGCCGAGAGGCGGGCCGACGGACAGUGCCACAGAAAAUGAAACCGCCCCGCUCUUUCUGAAACCGCCCAACCGGGGCGCGAGGCCAACGGGUUGCUGGGCGAACGGUUUUAGAAAGAGCGGGGCAAGGGUGAAAAGGUGGGGUAAGAGCCCACCGCUCCAAGCGCAAGCGCGGAGGCACGGAAAACCCCAUCGGGUGCAAGNNNNNNNNNNGGGGUAAGAGCCCACCGCUCCAAGCGCAAGCGCGGAGGCACGGAAAACCCCAUCGGGUGCAAGGCCAAAUAGGGGACCCCCGGAGCGGCCCGCUCCAGGCUCCGCACUGCGGACCGGGUCCCGGGUACUGGCUGCUAAGACAAAUGAUUCUCUCCCUUGGAGGAAGCUCCGGGGCAGACAAAAUUCGGCUUACAGCCCUUCCAAAAUC